CACGUAGGGGGCGAGCGUUUGUCCGGAUUCAUUGGGCGUAAAGGGCGCGCAGGCGGCCCGGAAAGUCGGAUGUGAAAACUCGAGGCUCAACCUCGAGCGUGCACCCGAUACUGCCGGGCUUGAGGCAGGUAGGGGAGAUCGGAAUUCCUGGUGUAGCGGUGAAAUGCGCAGAUAUCAGGAGGAACACCGGUGGCGAAGGCGGAUCUCUGGGCCUGUCCUGACGCUGGAGGCGCGAAAGCGUGGGGAGCAAACAGG
rnacentral:rRNA from 1 species